ACAUGCAAGUCGAACGGAGAAUUGAUGGUUUACUAUUAAUUCUUAGUGGCGGACGGGUGAGUAACACGUGAGCAACCUGCCUUUGAGAGAGGGAUAGCUUCUGGAAACGGAUGGUAAUACCUCAUGAUAUAAUUUUAUCGCAUGGUGAAAUUAUCAAAGAUUUACCACUCAAAGAUGGGCUCGCGUCUGAUUAGAUAGUUGGUGAGGUAACGGCUCACCAAGUCGACGAUCAGUAGCCGGACUGAGAGGUUGAACGGCCACAUUGGGACUGAGACACGGCCCAGACUCCUACGGGAGGCAGCAGUGGGGAAUGUUGCACAAUGGGGGAAACCCUGAUGCAGCGAUGCCGCGUGGAGGAAGAAGGUUUUCGGAUUGUAAACUCCUGUCUUAAAGGACGAUAAUGACGGUACUUUAGGAGGAAGCUCCGGCUAACUACGUGCCAGCAGCCGCGGUAAUACGUAGGGAGCGAGCGUUGUCCGGAAUUACUGGGUGUAAAGGGAGCGUAGGCGGGAUUGCAAGUCAGAUGUGAAAUGCAGAGGCUUAACCUCUGAGCUGCAUUUGAAACUGUAGUUCUUGAGUGAAGUAGAGGUAAGCGGAAUUCCUGGUGUAGCGGUGAAAUGCGUAGAUAUCAGGAGGAACACCGGUGGCGAAGGCGGCUUACUGGGCUUUUACUGACGCUGAGGCUCGAAAGCGUGGGUAGCAAACAGGAUUAGAUACCCUGGUAGUCCACGCUGUAAACGAUGAUUACUAGGUGUGGGGGGACUGACCCCUUCCGUGCCGCAGUUAACACAAUAAGUAAUCCACCUGGGGAGUACGGCCGCAAGGUUGCAACUCAAAUGAAUUGACGGA
rnacentral:rRNA from 1 species